rnacentral:misc_RNA from 1 species
CACAAAAAAGGACUUUGGUUGACGCUGAGGUAGGCGCUCUCGGGCUCUACCGCCAGAUCCCAAGUUUUUUUCCACCCUUGUCUUUUGCGCACUCAUGUUUCCUCGGCAGGCUUGCCUGCCGGCUGGACUCAACCUAUAACCUUUUUAAUUUUCAAUCAGCGUCUGAAAUAAUUUUAAUAAUUA